rnacentral:rRNA from 1 species
GUCGCCUCCUAAAAGGUAACGGAGGCGCUCAAAGGUUCCCUCAGAAUGGUUGGAAAUCAUUCAUAGAGUGUAAAGGCAUAAGGGAGCUUGACUGCGAGACCUACAAGUCGAGCAGGGUCGAAAGACGGACUUAGUGAUCCGGUGGUUCCGCAUGGAAGGGCCAUCGCUCAACGGAUAAAAGCUACCCCGGGGAUAACAGGCUUAUCUCCCCCAAGAGUUCACAUCGACGGGGAGGUUUGGCACCUCGAUGUCGGCUCAUCGCAUCCUGGGGCUGUAGUCGGUCCCAAGGGUUGGGCUGUUCGCCCAUUAAAGCGGUACGCGAGCUGGGUUCAGAACGUCGUGAGACAGUUCGGUCCCUAUCCGUCGUGGGCGUAGGAAAUUUGAGAGGAGCUGUCCUUAGUACGAGAGGACCGGGAUGGACAUACCUCUGGUGUACCAGUUGUCGUGCCAACGGCAUAGCUGGGUAGCUAUGUGUGGACGGGAUAAGUGCUGAAAGCAUCUAAGCAUGAA